CAUUUCUUUAACUUUUCACCUCUAUCCCUCUCAUUUUACAAAUUUUGUUUCUCUUUCCAUUAACAUAUUUCUAUCUCUUUCGUCUCUUUCUCUCCGAACCCUAAAACCACCGCCGUCGAAAACAAUAGAAUUGCUGCCGCCGAAAACAAUGAAACCAAAGAAGGUAAAUACCGAUUUACUGUUCUUUUUUCGUUUUCAUUUUCAACUGCAAUUUCAUGUGAAACAUAUUCCCUCUCGUCCUUUUUUUAUUUUUGGUUUUGAUGGCUGCCUAUUUGUGUUCAUGUCUAUGAUUUCUCGUGUCUGUGUUUGUUUGUGGAGUUUCAUAUUUGCCAGAUCUAUCAGUUCAACGACGACCUGGUUUAGAGCGCCGACGGAUGAAACAAACCCUUCGGUAAUCAAGUUUUAGUGUGAAUGUAAUCGAGUCCACGGGUUGCGCUGCUAAAGGAUUUGUGGAUUUAGAACAUUGAUAAUUACUUUGCUUGGCAUUCAGCUUGAUCUCUUAAUGGAUGGUUUUGAACAAGAUGAUGAAAUGUUUUUUCUUCUUAGCACAAAGAGCAUGAUCAAAACUGGUAGAAGCAAUAACAUGAUGCGUGUUUGGAGCAACCGCAAGAUGGUAAACACCGUCAGAAAAUUAUUCUUCAUAGAAAGAUAGAGGAAGCAACAAUGGCUAUCAAGAGGUUAAAGGAAUUGUUGGAAGCUCGCAAAUCUUCUCUGUGUGACCACUCUGUUUAUUCAAAUGGAUAUCUACAACCUGGACAGGUAAUGAACUAUACUACUUGUGCUUAAUACAAUUUGACAAAUUAAAAGGGGACAGAAAUGUUCUAAAAAACAAUUUAGCUUGGUACAUUUAGCACUAUAAAAAAUUUUUAAUCCAACUUUAUAUCCAAAUCAAUGAAAAAUCCCUCCCGAGUUGGCUUGACUAGGAGCUGGAGGUAAUGGUACAUGUGCAUGAAGUCUGUGCUGAAUUUGAUGAACAAAACAAAGUGUAUGUGAUCACAGUUUUUUUCCUCGAGUUAUCACAUUCCAUAACCGUAUUUUUUCGUUUUACCAUUUAUGAUUUGAAUAUUAUAUUUAGUCAUGCUACACUGGAAAGUGAAUUGGCUUUCCUGAAACAAGUGGACCAGCUUUCAGAUAGGCAGAGUAUCCCCACAAGAAACAAUCGAUAUUCAAGAUGACCUAAUCGGUAUGUAUACUUGAGAAAUGUAUGCAUUCAAAAAUCUAUUUCAUGACAUAAUGAAGAUUUGUAGAGUCUGUUUUAUAGUUUUAUGUUUUACAUUUCCCAGGUAUACAUACUACAAGGUCAUAAUGUGUACUGGUUUUGAAACCGUGUCUCUCUUAAUUACUACUGCUUUUGCUUUAUAGAAAAUUUGUUGCACAUGUGUGUAUUCACCUUUAUUGUUUCAUCUCAGUUAAACUAAUUUCAAAUUGAAGACAAAGUAUAUGACAAAAGCUUCAUAUGAGAUAAGUGACAAGUAGUAUAGCUUACCAUGCUUAUGUAUACCAUAAAUAUAAAUUAUUUUACUUCUUUAUUUUUGUUUUAUUUUAUAAGGGUGUUGUAUUAACCAUAUGAUAUACAAUAAAGAAGUUAAUAAUCUCCAUACUUAGUUCAAAAUGCAUUGUUGUGGCAUUGUAUCAUAGUUGUGUAAUCAAAUGUAUAACUCCAGAGUUGUCUUGGAACUUCUUGGUUGAAACACAAGAUUGAUAGGAAACAUUCACUUGAUCUUGUAAAACAACACUUGAAUUUCAAUUGCAAUGAGGAAGAGGCCACCUAUGUGUACGGAAAACUGCAGAAGCAUGAUAAAUAUUUCUCAAGUUUAAUGAGAUUUGUUUAUGGAUAUUGUUUUAUGAUUUCAUUGUUUUUGAGUUUUUGUUGAUGUCCAGAAAAUAUUGAUGUUGGUUUUGAAUGGUUUACUAUUACAGCUUGUGUGGAACAACCGUAACAUCGUAAACACCUUCGCGGGUUAAUGAAGGAGCACAUUAGUUUUGUCAUGUGCAAAAGAAUUUUGCUAAUUCCGCUCUUUUACCGCAGUCCAUUGGUUUUGUUGGUCCUGGAGUUAGCCUCAUUAGUUUAGCAACUGCAAGAAACCCUUCGGUAAGAGGUCCCAAGAUGCUUAGCUUUGUGGACACAAAGGAAAAGGUAAGAGGUCCAGAGGAUCCACCUGGAUAUUGGGUUGUCACUGGUGCAAAGCUAUGUGUAGAAGGUGGCAGAAUCUCAAUCAAGGCAAAAUAUUCAUUGUUGACUGUAUUGUCAGAAGAAUCUAUAAUGCAGUUAGAGUAAGAAUUGAUUUGUUAAUGUUGUUUUUAGUUAGUUGUACAUAUAUCAUGCCAUUUAUUUAUCUAAAAGAAAAGAAAGUGUAUUUUGUGAUUGUCAUAUUGGCUCAA